rnacentral:rRNA from 1 species
CCUACGGGAGGCUGCAGUGAGGAAUAUUGGUCAAUGGACGAGAGUCUGAACCAGCCAAGUAGCGUGAAGGAUGACUGCCCUAUGGGUUGUAAACUUCUUUUAUAUGGGAAUAAAACAGGGUAUGCAUACCCUCUUGUAUGUACCAUAUGAAUAAUGAUCGGCUAACUCCGUGCCAGCAGCCGCGGUAAUACGGAGGAUCCGAGCGUUAUCCGGAUUUAUUGGGUUUAAAGGGAGCGUAGGUGGAUUGUUAAGUCAGUUGUGAAAGUUUGCGGCUCAACCGUAAAAUUGCAGUUGAAACUGGCAGUCGUGAGUACAGUAGAGGUGGGCGGAAUUCGUGGUGUAGCGGUGAAAUGCUUAGAUAUCACGAAGAACUCCGAUUGCGAAGGCAGCUCACUGGACUGCAACUGACACUGAUGCUCGAAAGUGUGGGUAUCAAACAGGAUUAGAUACCCCUGUAGUC